rnacentral:lncRNA from 1 species
AAAAAUAGACCAUACUACCCCUAAACCUAGUAAAUAAAAUCACCAAAAACAGAGAAAACAGCUGCAACAACUAGAGAAAAAGGAAAAAAUAGUAGCUAAAAGAGGAAAAAGAGAUCCCCAAGUUCAAUUGGUCUCAAAAUCGGAUGUAAGUAUUCACUCACUUCUAUGCAUGUCUUCUAGUAAUUUUACCUGAGGUAUUAUGAAUUAUCAAGUGAGCUAGUUAUUUUAUUUUGUUGGUUAUGGGUUUCUCAUUUAAUCACCAAGUUGUGAUAUUUUAAAUUUUAUAAUCAAUGUAAAAUGUUUCCAUUUAUAUCACCAUGUGUUGACCUUUCAUUUCAUUUAUUCAUUUAUUUUUUCUUUACGAGACCUAAUCAAUAGCAUACAAAAAAUUAAAGAUUUGUUCAAGAUUCAUUGGAAAAACUAAAGAUAAGAGUGAUAAAGGAUACAAUUAAUUUCUUUGAUUUAGUAUUGCAAUCUCUGAGAUUUUAAGUUCUAAGCAAGAGAGCGCAUAAUUUAUCAUCUUAACCGAUGAUUUUGUCAUUCAAAAAUAUUCUCUGGCUCAUUCUAACUGGUAUCAAACUAUUCUUUUUGUCAUGUUAGAAAGAAACUUAAAUUGUUAAAGUCUUCAUUAUAAAUUUUGUUUCAAAUUCCUUAUAUUAGUGCUUUUGCUUCUUUUUUUUAAUCUCUUUUUAUGUCAGGUUUGUGAAGAAAAAGAGAGUGAGCAAUUAGUGCAGACAGUGUUCAAACAACAUAAACAAGAGUUGAUAGCUAAGAUCUAUCUCAGUGAGGAUACACAUAUAGAGUCUUCAUAUAUCGAAGAAAAAUUUGAAUUACCACUAUCAUCGUUAGGUUUGUCUUGAGCUAUUCUAUUAUAUGUAAAUAAAUUUUAAAUAUAAGUACAUUUGUCCAAGAUUAUUUUUGUCUUCAUGUUAUGAACUUCCCACAAUCCUACAUUAUUGCUACUCAAAAAACAAUUUAAUUUUCUCUUCAUAUGUUAUUCGUAGUAUCUAUAAAAAUGUUGAUUAAACUUUUUGCCCUUUCUUAAAAUACUCUACUAUAGACAAAAUUUUCAUUUACUAUUUUUCUCAAAUUAUUAUUCAGUUAUCUUUAUGAUAUUGAAUCUUAAAAUAUAUGAGAAGAACGAUCACUCCUAAUAUAUAUGGUAAAAAGAAAUAUAAACUAACAUGUAAAAAUUUAAGGAUCGCUAAAAUAAUGGUAAGAGAAAAAUAUAUGGUACGGUAUACUAAAAGAAUUAAUAAGGAUAAUUAAUGUCAAUAAAAGGACUCCUAAAAGAUAUAGUAAUCUAUAAUACAUUUGAACUCCUUUUCUACUUAAACAAUGAAUCAUAUAAUAACAUGAUAUUUGAUGAUAUGUAUGUUUCAACAACGUAGUAUUUGCUUCGCACCUAGUAUUAGCUUAGAUUUUUGUUUAAGAUCAAAAUGAAUGACAAAUUUAUGAUUGAUAUUUAAUCUAUUUGUAAUACUUAAUCAAAUUUAUACAUUACAAUUUUAAGAAUUAUUUAAUAAAAGAUUCAAGUUAGCUAAAUAUUUAUUCACAUUUAAGCUAAAUCUAAUUUCGAGUAUAGCUAGUGAUUCUCGAAGAAUAUGAUAUGUGAAAAUGUAUUAAAGAGGAGUGUGAAUGAACUAAUAUUAUUCACCUUAUUUGAAAAUUUUAAAGUUUGAGUUGGAGAUGGAGUGAGAAUUGUGUUGGGAAUAACAUGUACGUCUAAUGUUGAUUGAACUUCUUACCCUUCAUUAAUUUUUUUUUACAAUAGAUAAAAUUGUCAUUUACUAUUUUACUCAAAUAAUUGUCAUAAUUUUUAUGCUAAUAUUUAGGACAUGAAAUGUAAUUAAAGUUAUAGUUAUUAAACUUACUUAUUUGUAAUAUGUAAGAACUUCUAAUAUUUAUUACUUUAAAAUUGACUCAAAUUCUAUUUCUUAAAUAUUUUUUUAUUUGAACUAUAUUAAAAGUCCUAACAUUAAGACUUUAAAAUCAAUAGUUUUACCUGAUAUAAAUCUUAUUUGAAUUAUAGUAAACGAAUUAAAAAUAUUAAAGAAAGAGAUUCACAUAUUUUAAACUAAAAUUUUAACUUUCAUGUGAAAUGCUUAUCAUCUGGAUAGAUAUAACAUUUAUUUUAAUGUCGAUUGCUAUUAUAAAAUAAUUUUAUUAUUUUAAUAUAUAAUUUUAUUAAUUGAUGUAAGACACACGUGCAAAGCACGUCCACUAAAUUAGGUCUAAUGAAAAACCUAUAUUAAAAAAGAAGAAGUUAAGAUUAGAAAAAAGAACUAAGCAGAAGGAUUCAAUACUCUUAUACAUCUAGUGAUUUGAGAUCUAACAAUGAAAAUUGUUAGUAAAUCCAAGAAAGUUCUGAAAAUCUAACUAAAAAGCAUAUUUUUACAAUAGGGUAAUCUGUUGAAGGAAAAUUAGAAAAUAUAACUUGAAUGUAAAAAGCGUGUUUUCUAAAACUGGAGUCAAAAUGAAUAGUAUGGGUUGUAAAUCUAUAGGAAAAGUACAUAAUGUGCAAUUCAUUUAUAGACUUAACUAAAUCACAAAGUAAUAAAAAUAUUGUUGCCUAUAGAUUAUGCUACUUUCUUCUAAAAGUUUCUCAAACAUAUUUAGUCAAACCACCUUAUUUUUCCUAAUUCCUUUGUAAUAGCAAAAAAUAAGACUGUACACCAAUAAAAGACUAGAAUGAAAAUGGUAAAUUUUAAAGCGAAAUGCAUUGCAACUUUAAAAAAGGGAAUGGAAAGACUUCUCAAGAAAGCACAUAACUUUGAUUACAACGGGAACAUGUGUUGUCAUUCCUAUUUAUUCUCCUAGUGGUAAACUAUAAUUUUAUGAUUCCUCUAAUAAUUUUACUAUAAUAGAUGAUCUCCUAAACCAAAAUUUAGAGAAUGUUGUCGUUGAUCCAAUUGACGUGAAGACUUACGUGGUCAAUGAAAUUACAAUUUAAUAAUUUAAUAGAUCUAAGUCAUUGGUUUGAUAGUCACUAGGGAAAAGUUUAUCCAUCUUAUUUACUUUUGAAUUGCCAGUAAAGCUCGUUUUUUUCAAUAUGUGAAUUAUUCUAUUGGUUAAUUGUUGUCCUCUCAUUUUUAGUUGCUUGAUAAUUUUAGUCGUAUCUUUCAGUCCUCCAUGAUAUUAAACUAUGAAGCAUAAAGUCUUAUGGUGUACUUUUUUCCUUUCUACUUCAUCGGAUGACCUAAUAAAAUAAACUUUUCUCGGUUAAAGAAUUUGACUCUUUUCUAUUAAGUCAAUUCCUUUAAUAGAAAGUACUUUAUUUUAUUAGAAUGCCCUUAUAAGGGAGAAAAGGAAAAAUACACCACAAAAUAGACUAAAACUUGAAAGACAACAAUCAACCAUCCGAAAGACUAACAUAUUCAAAACAAAUAUACUUCACUAACAAUUCUAAAGUAAAUAAAACAAGAUGGAUAAAUUUUUCUCUAAUGACAAUCGAAUCAUUACCCAACUCUAUUUAAUUGCAAAUUAAUGAACCGUAUAAACCUUCACAUCAUCUCGAUCAACAACAAUGUUCUCUAAAUUUUGAUUUAGGAAUGUAUCUAUUGUAUUAAAAUUAUAAGAAGAAUCAUAAAAAUAUGAGUUACCACUAGGGGAAUAAACAAGAAUAACAACAUGUUCUCCCGUUGUAAUUGAAAGUUUAUGUGCUUCUUUGAUAAGUCUUGGCAUUCCCUUUUUGAAAGUUGCAAUGCGUUUUGCAUUAGACCCAAUUAUCUUCAUUUCAGUCUUUUGUCAGCGUAAAUGUUAUUUUCUACCAUUACAAAGACAUUAGAGGAAAUAAGGUGGUUUGACUUAAUAGAGUUAAGAAACUUUUAGAAGUAAAUUGCGUAAUUUAUAGGCGAAAAUAUUUUUAUUUCUUAGAUAACAACCUUAGUUUCAAACUCGAUUUGAUCAACAAAAGCAAUAUUUAGUUACUAUGCAUAUACUAAUCCAAAGUAUUAAAAUUUUACUUUCCGCACAUGUUUUAGAAAUAAAGUUCUGAUGAAUUACGACUGAGAGUAAUAUUCUCAUUAUAUUCUUUAUCGAUUUUGACCCAGCCUUAUUGGGUUUUAUUGUAACACCCCGCAACUAGAAAGAGCUAGAAUUAGAAAGAGUCAUUUUUGGAAAGAAUGAAAAAUCUGGAAAUUUGACAAAGUUAAGUUAAGAAUGAGUUUAUGGUCAACUUCAAACCACAAUAACUCCUAUCUCAGGAUGAUUUAGGUGUGCUACAAGGUACCGUAGGAAAUAUCUUUGAAUUUUCUUUCCAACGCCACAGAGUUUGAUCAGUUUUGAGUUCGUAUGAGUGAGAUAUGCCCAUUUGAAGUUGGGUUGUCUAGAUAAGGAAAGUCAAAACUAGAUUUUAGAAGGGUAUUAUGGUCUUUUCACUACCCAAUCAGCUUAAUUCGUGUUUGUUAAUUACUGAGGGGUCCAAACAGAAUUAGAUCAGUUUACGCUUUACCAAAUUACGCUAGGGUUUUUGGAGAAAGAACUCAAGAGGAGAAAGGAGAAGAAAAGGUCUAGAUUCGUCGUCUUCGUGAGGAAUUGAUUGCAGAUUUCACCAAGGAUUCAAUCCUACAUGGUAUGUGAGUUCAUAUAGCGUUGGGUUCGUUCAUCCACGCGCCCAACAUGUUUAUUUCAGUAUGAUUUUCAUCCUAAAAGAUAGAGACUUUGAUGUUCUUGAGUUGUAUUCUUGAAUUGCUUUCGUUCUUGAAUUUGGCGUGAGAUUGAAGAGUUCUUCAGAGUUUAAGGUCUAUUUUAGAGUUGUGUUUGAUUAGAUUCUUGUGUACAUAUGUUGGGUAUCUUAAUCUAAAGAGGAAUUGCGAAAUAUAAUCGAAUUUAGGUGAAUUGGGGUUAGAAAACAAAGAAGGAACAAGUCAGGCAAAUCUGGGUACCAGGUCCGCGUCGCGGACCUAUUCCUCAGGAUUGAAAAAAUUUUCUCCGCGUCGUGGAGUGAUCACGGACCUUUCUGCCUCAAAAAUUAUUUCGCGACCAAAUAAGUAAAAGUUGUCCGCAUCGCAGACUUGCUUACAGACAUUGAUUUCUUGAUCUUUUCUCAUGUUUAACUAUCUAAAAACACUCCUAAACAUCAUGAGAUCUUUCCUAUCACAAACCACAAUCCUUGAAUCUAUAAUUCAAUUCAAGGAAAGUUAAGAGAAGUUAAGAGACAAGUCAAGAGAAGUUCAUUGAAUUUUCCAAAAGUCCUUCACAAAUAUUUUAACUUUGUUUUAAGACAAAAGCUUUGAGUUGAGUAAAGAGUAAGAGUAAAAUUCAUUUUUUCAAAGAUUAUACGGGAACUAAGUAUUCCCAAGAGUUAAAAUGUUUUCACAUUUGAGCAAUAAAGGAAACACUGAUUUCCAAGAGAGUUUUUAAGCUAAGUUUUGACUAAUUAUCUCAAACCAAAGAAAGAGUUUUGUUUUAAAAAAUAUGAGCUGAGUAUAUUUUUGGGGAGUAGUAUUGAGCACCGAUAUGGGGACGCGGAUUCAUAAUAACUCAAGUCUCCAUAAACCAUGUAGCCAUCAUGGGUAGAAAAAAGAUCAUACUUUUUAGAUGAUUCCUAAGUGUUGUUUAGCAUAGACUAGUGGAUCCACUUAGUUAAGGCGUUUUAUAUGACGACAAAAUAUAGAACAAUUCUGGUAGCGUGGGCAAGACGUUGUAUUAUCACUUAGGCUCAUAGUGGUGGUUGUCGGUUAGAGAAACUCCCACAAUAUUAUAUUACUUUAUAUGUAAACCAAGUUGUUAUUGCAUUUCUUUAGCAAAUUGAGUUGCUACCUCUUGUUUUAAAAGCUUUGUAUAACUGCACUAUUAUUGUUGUUUACUUUGCAUUUGAGUUGAGUUAUUUCAUGAGUUGAGUAAAGCAAAGGUAAGUGCUCUUUUCAGAUUCCUUUCAAGCUUAUGUCUUGUUUAGUAUUCCUCUCGCAUACUCGUACUUUCAAUGUACUGAAGUCAUUUGGCAUGCAUCGUUUUAUGAUGCAGCCACAGGUAACUAGGAUCAUCAUCCAGCGCCUCAUUGAUCCAGUUGAGUUCAGAGUCAGUUGGUGAGCCUCCUUGCUAUCUGAAGGACUCCUUUUACUUUGUUUUUAGUAUUUAAGUUGGUAGGAUGAUCGGGGGUCCUGUCCUGACAUCCCUCUUUAUUUUAGAGGCUUCAUAGACGAGUAGUUAUAGUUCUUUAGUCUUUUCGUUUUUAGUUGAAUACGUUUAAGGCUUGAGUUGCCAUUUUGGCUAAGUUUAAUAUUUUUUUAAGAUAUUGCAUUAAUUAUCAUUUUUAGACUAUUUCUUGUGUUUAAACUUCCGCUGAGUAAGUAGGCCAGACCAAGGGUUUGCUUAGGGCCAACAAUGGUUCUCGAGUGCCAGUCCCGCCCAUAGUGUAGGCUCAGGGCGUGACAAACUUGGUAUCAGAGCACAGAGGUCAAGAGUCCUAGGGAGUCUAUGAAGUCGUGUCUAUAGAGUCCUAGUUAAUAGUGUGCAGCGCACCACAUCUAUAAUUAGGAGGCUCCAACACUUAGGAAAUUACCUUACUUCUUUCACACUCAUUUCGUUCAUUAGAGUUUGAUUUCAAAAAAGUUUCUUCUAAUUUGUGCUUGUGCGUGUCUUUCAGUUAAUUAUGCUUCCACGAAGAGCUGUCCGAGGUCGUCCUACAAGGAGGAACGUUGAGGAGCAAGGGGUACCUAAUGCACCUGAAGUGCAACCCCAAGGAGAAGUCACGAUUGUUGAGUUCAGGGAAACGAUUCGAAUGUCAAUCCAAGCUGUAACUAACUAGGUUGGGCAAAAAAGAGGAGCUAGACAGGAAGUGGCUGAUACUUCGAGGAUCCGAGAGUUCUUGAGGAUGAAUCCUCCGUGUUUCACUGGUUCAAGCACUACUGUGGACCCAAAGAGUUUUGUUCAGGAACUGAAAAAUUUAUUUGAGGUUAUGCACGUUGUCGAUGUUGAGAGAGUAGAACUAGCUGCAUAUUAACUGAAGAAUGUUGCUAGGACUUGGUUUGACCAGUGGAAGAAGGGUAGAGUUGAGGGAGCACCACCUGCGAGUUGGGCUUGUUUUGAGAAGGCUUUCUUGGGGCGUUUCUUUCCCCGAGAUCUGAGAGAGGCCAAGGUACGAGAGUUUCUCACCCUUAAGCAGGAUUCACUAACUGUUCAUGAGUACAGUUUGAAGUUCACCUAACUUUCCCGAUAUGCUCCGGAGAUGGUUGCGGAUAUGAGAAGUAGGAUGAGUCUUUUUGUUGUUGGGUUGUCCCUUCUGUCAAGAAAAUAGGGCAAGGCAGCCAUGCUAAUUGGGGACAUGGAUAUAGAAAGGUUGAUGGUCUAUGUGUAGCAGGUUGAGGAAGAGAAGCUGAGGGAUAAAUAGGAGUUUAGAAACAAGAAAGCGAAGACACAGAAUGAGUCCGAGCAGCAAAGAAAUAAUGCGAACUUGUCUUCUUUCUAACAAAAGCAAAAGAGACUUGCUCAAUGAUAUGCUAGUGCAUCUGCACCCAGAAACAAAAGUGAGUACAAUAGUUAUAAUUCAUAACACUUCAGGGCUAGACCUGCACAGUCUUAGGGUAGUGUGGCACAAAGGGGUAAUUGUGCUCUUGCAUGUGCUAAGUGUGGUAGGACCCACCCAGGUCAAUGUCACGAUGUCUCUACAGGUUGUUUCAAGUGUGGACAAGAGGGUCACUUCAUGAAAGAGUGCCCUAAGAACCGACAAGGUAAUGGAAAUCAGGGCAAUAGAGCAUAAUCUUUAUCAGUUGCUACACCAGAUAGGGCUGCACCUAGAGGAGCAACUUCUAGUACUGGCGGAGGAGCAAGUUGCCUUUAUGCGAUCACGAAUCGUCAAGAGCAAGAGAAAUCUCCAGAUGUUGUCACGGGUAUGAUCAAAGUCUUUACUCUUAACGUUUAUGCUUUGUUAGACCCAGGAGCAAGUUUAUCUUUUGUAACUCCUCAUGUUGCAAAUAAUUUUGAUGUUCUUCAUGAGAAACUUUGUGAACCCUUUUGUAUUUCUGUACCUGUUGGGGAGUCUAUUUUAGUUGAGCGAGUAUAUAGUGAUUGUGUUAUUUCCAUCAAUCACAAGAACACCAUGGCUGAUUUAGUUGAGUUAGACAUGGUAGAUUUCGAUGUCAUUCUUGGUAUGGACUGGCUUCAUGCCUGUUAUGGCUCCAUUGAUUGUAGAACUCGAGUUGUUAGGUUCCAAAUUCCUAAUGAGCCAAUUAUAGGGUGGAGUAGUAGUUUAGCAGUGCCUAAGGGUCGUUUCAUUUUCUUCCUCAAGACGAGAAAAUUAGUUUCCAAGGGGUGUGUCUAUCACUUAGUCCGAGUUAAUGACCCUAGUGUUGAGAUACCUCAUAUUCAGUCAGUUUCAGUAGUAAAAUAGUUUCCAGAAGUCUUUCCAGAUGAUCUUCCCGAAGUCCAUCCUGAGAAAGAAAUAGACUUCGGUAUAGACAUUUUUCCAAAUACUCGUCCUAUAUCUAUUCCGCCAUAUCGAAUGGCUCCAGCAGAGUUGAAAGUUCUAAAAUAACAGUUGAAAGAUUUCCUUGAUAAGUGUUUUAUUCGACCAAGUUUGGGAGUACAUCUCGCUUUUAGCUCGAAUGCAUGACUCAUAUGAAUAAGAGUGCAUUCUUUCAAAUUUCAAGACUUAAGCAUAAUCACGGGCUUUUCAUGCCCCUCUUUAGUCUCAUGACUUUUUGAAGACUUUUUCUUAGAGUGACUUAUCGAUAAGGAUCUAGGCUUUGCUUUUCGACUACCUUGAGUAUGAAGGGGUAGUUGAAUGGAUUUUGAGAAACGCACCAGUUUGAAUGUCUUUCUUAUGGCACAGUUCUAUUGCAUGAUUUAAAGUAUGGAAUAAGGGAAGGUUUUCUUAAAUGUGUGCAGUCCCUCAUUUAUAGAAGUGGGGCCCUAAAAACAAUAAACAAGAUACUCAUGACAUGACUUCAUAAACACCCUAGUACACUCGAACGUUGUGCUCUGAUACCAAGUUUUUCACACCCUAAAACUACACCCUAAAAGUGGCCAUCACUCGAGAACCAUUUUUUAUCCCAACGCGAACUCUUGGCUUGGUUAACUACUUGGCGAAAGACUCAUUCAAGUGGUAAUAGGCUUAAAAUAGAAUUUUGAACAUUUAAACUCAAAGUAAAUACUCAACUCAAAAUAUAUGUAAAAUACUCUAUAACUUAAGUAUAAUACUUUGAAAAAAACAUCUUAAGGAACAGUAAAUACCGAAAGACUCUUCAACUCUAUCUAUCUAGGAAGCAUUUAAUGUUUAAGAUAAGUGUCGAGACAAGACCCACGAUGCCUCAAAAUAACUAAACUGAAAGUAAAUGUUAGUUCCUCUGUAAUUCAAGGAGGCUCACCAAGAGCUAGCUUGAGUGUAGAGUGAUCUCACCGAAACGUCUAUUGAUAAUUUUAAACACCUGUAUCUACAUCAUAAAAUGAUGCAUGUCGAGUAACAUCAGUACAUAUUUGAAUGUACGAGUAUGUAAUAUAGGUUAAUAACAAAUUAUGGAACUGAAAGGACUGCAAUAGAUAAAAACUAUACUUAAGCUAUAUGUAAAGAAAUAAAAGAGUUAAAUCACUUAAAGCUAUACAAAAUACUAACUCAUUUAUGAACUCAACCUAAUAAGUGAUACAUAUUAAUACAUUUUUACUCUAUUGGGAGAUUCUCUAAUCGACAACCAUCAGUAAAAGAUACGUGAUGACACAAAAUCUUGUCCACGUUGCUAGAACUGUCUAAUAUCAUGCCGGGAUAUAGAACCUCCCAACAAAGUGUAUCCACUAAGCUAUGCCCGAAGACACUAAGGAUUCAUCUAAAAAGUAUGAUUAUGUACCCAUGUUGGCAAAACAUGGUUUAUGUGGGUUGUGAGUUGUCAGAACUAUCCCCUAUUUCAUUGCUCAAGACUACUCCCAAUAAUAUAUAUACUCUUGGUCAGAUUUAUAAAAACAUAUUCUUUCUCUGAUUUGAGAUAAUUUCUCAAAUUAUCCUCUUAAAAGAGGUAACUACUCUGAAAUAUCAAUGAAACUCUUUGCUUAUUUAGAAAACAAUGUUUCUCUUUGCUCAAUGUAAAAAUACAUUCUAGGUUGAGAUAAUUACUCAAAAGGGGCCUCUUUUAGAGGUAGCUGUUCUAUACUCAAUAUUUUUGAAAAUUCUUUUAAAUUUUUAAAAUAAGUAUUUUCUUUCUUCAUGUUAAAAUGAGUCAUUUGGGAAAUACUUAAAUCCCUUAUACUCUUUAUCAAACUCCUCUUAAUUUCCUCAAAACUCAGUUCAAAACAACAAUGUUGGCUUUAAAAGAUUCUCAAGAUUUAUAACUCAUAAUAGAGUUCAUGGUGAAAUAUAGACAUGAAUGAAUCAAUUCCGGGAUCUCAAUAACAUUAUAGAAAACUCAAUACUUAGAACACAAAAACUCAGAACUCAAUGAUACUACCCAUCUCAAGAAUACUCAAUUUGUAGGGUUCAUGCUGAAAUAUAGACAUGAACAAAUCAANNNNNNNNNNNNNNNNNNNNNNNNNNNNNNNNNNNNNNNNNNNNNNNNAGAAUACUCUCUUUCUUCAUGUAAAAAUGAAACAUUUGGGAAAUAAUUAGUUCCCUUAUACUCAUUCUCAAACUCCUCUUUACCUUCGCAAAACUCAGUUUAAAACACAAUCAUUGGCUUUAAAGGAUUCUCAAAAUUUAUAACUCAAAAUAUAGUUCAUGCUGAAAUAUAGACAUGAACAAAUCAAGUCAAGAAUCUCAAUGCAUAACAUAUAACAAUUCAAUAAUUAGGAUUUCGAAAAGAAACAAGAACUCAAGAACUAAAAAUUAACUCAUCUCAAUAAUAGUCAAAUCUAAGAAUAGAACAGUAAAUUACUCUUUUAUUGAUUUGAUUGUAGAUGUUGGGUGUGAGGAUGAACUAGUCUAACAUUAUGACAACCUUAUAUACCUAGAAGAAUGAUGUUUUUGGCGAAAUGGAUGAAACUUGAAGAACAUUUUUUCCCACUUGGUACCUUGCUCUAAUGUCUUGAAGUGUUAAUGAACGUAACAAAACUUAUUAACACUUUAUAAAUCCUUAAUAAGGUGUAAAAUGUUGUUGUUUAGGCUUAUAAUAGGAGUUAAAACGACGUAAUUUAGGUACCAAAUGCACAUGGAAAGGCAAAAAUAACCCCAGCUUAAAAAACUGGCUAGGUGCCUUAAAAAGGAGGUUUCACAGACAGUUUAUGUCUUCACAUCCGUGAAACACUUCAAGGGCUGUAUAGCCCCCCGUGAAGCUUCACCUUCAUGAUAGGGCUUCACUAAAAUGGGCAUAACAUUUUACUCCAAACUCAAAAUGAGGUAGACUUGGUGGCAAAAGAAAGAUGACUCAAAGACCUUUAAUUUGAUAGAUAAUGGGCUACCUAAUUCGUUAUGUGCUGAGAGAUAUAGUUUUUUGAAGUUGGCCCAAGUAAAAUAUUAUAUUGAAACUCAAUCAGUAAGAAAGCUUUAAACUCAACUUUACGCUAGGGUUUAUAGUGACAUUAAUUCAUAUCCAAAAUUAUUCCCACACUUAAGAAUUGGCCUUAACACCUAAGACUAACUAAGAAUCACUUGGUGAACCUUAUACACACUUUAUGAAUCAUUUGGGGGCUUAACUUGGAAUUUUUGGGGUGUUAUAUAAAGUUUUGUUAGCUAAAAAAUGUCAUUUUUUGUCUAGAAGGACCUCUCACAUCUAGAGUUUUAUGGGAUCACCCCUAGCCCCCUUGUGGUAUUGUGCUUAAAAUAGAAUCUAAGUGUGGGACCCACUUUUUAUCGAGAUGACCUUCGCUGGAAGUUUGAACAUAUUUUUCUAGUUUCGAAAGCCAAUUUUUUGGGGUAGCAUAUCUUGUUUGCCUGCACGGGUUCCAAGAAAAUCUUGAGAACCAUAUCAUGGAUUUUUAAAAUAGGCAAAACUAGCUUAUAUCAACUGGUGCAUACACUUUUUCCUGUUCACGUUCACAGGCUCCUAGCCUCGUUCAGGGUGACCAAUGGUCUUGGUCUCUGUGUUUUCGAGGUCUAUGCUGAAUUUACAGAGACCUAGGUAGUUUGUUAGGGCAUUCACGGACCAUCUGCCACAUUAGAGUAGGUAAAGGUGCCUUACCUUCAGUGAUGGUGGGCAUGGUGCUACAUUCACAAAGGGUUGGUGUUGCUGACCCUCCAAGAUUGUGGAGGUUAUUUAAUUGGAAUUUCUGUAACGACCCGUAAAACGAGUAGGUGAAACUAGAGCCUAACGAGUUUGAUUUUGAGUUUGGUGUGAGGUUAUGAGUUGAAAAGUGAUGUCCCGAGCUAUAGUUGAGGGGUUUAGGGGUUAAACAUCAAGGUACGACCUCCCAAAGACCAACCAAGGGUCCUUGAGGGGGACCCUAAAGCCUAACCCCCAAGACCCCAAGAAACCAAAAAUUGCCCCAAAUAUCAUGACCUACGGAUGGGGAACUAUGCCCCGUAGGUCCAUCCACGCCCUAUGGAUGGCCUCCAUAGGUCAAGUCCCCUAUUAGUGACCCUCAGACCCAAACCACGGAAUAGAAGGACGAGGUGUCACCCCACCUACGGUCAGUAGGUCUGGAGUCGUAGGUCACACCUGCAUGUUGUCAAAGAUUCUGCCUAUGUGGGGUUAGUUUGGUAAAUUGCUUAUUUAGUUAGUUUAGUGAAGGGACGGUUAUUAUUUUUUUAUUAAUGUAUUUUAAAGGAUUUUAAAGUAUUAAAACUCCUUUUCAACUAAUUAUUUCAAAACACAAAUAAAAAACCUCCCCUCCCCUCUAAAAGUUCUCUCUCUAGAAACCUCCAUUAGAGGUGAAGGAUUCAAGCUCUCAAGCUCAAGCUUUCAUCCUUUUCAAGAAAUUUUCGUCGAUUUUAUUCCCUAAAGGUAUGGUAGUAUUAAUCCUUGACUUAGUUUCUUUCAAUGAGCAAAUUUCAAAGAUGAUUUCAAGUCUCCAAAAUCCCCCAAAACCUAGGGUUUUCAAUCUAUGCAUGGGUUCCAUUCCAAACAUUUUCAAAAGGUUUGUAUGAUAUGAAUCAUGGUUUAAUUGAUGAUUGAAUGGUGAAUUAAGAUGAUUGAUCCCUUGAACCCAUGUUUUCCCCCAAAUUCUUAAGUUGUGAUUUGUUUUUUGGGAAUUGAUUGAUUAUGAAAGUAUGUUGAAUUGCUUAUGUUUAUAUUGAAUUAGUUGUUGAAUCAUGUUAAUUCACUUAUCUAUUGUAGUAUCUUGGAUGUAUGGGUUGAUGUUGAUUCUAGCCUCGGAAGGCAAGUUCAUGAAGAAUCU